GGGGGAAUAGCUCAGUGGCAGAGCGCUGCUUGCACGCAGAGUGCCGUCGGUUCGAUCCCAACUACCUACA
rnacentral:tRNA from 1 species